rnacentral:rRNA from 1 species
UACGAAGGGGGCUAGCGUUGCUCGGAAUCACUGGGCGUAAAGCGCACGUAGGCGGCUUACUAAGUCAGGGGUGAAAUCCUGGAGCUCAACUCCAGAACUGCCUUUGAUACUGGUGAGCUUGAGUCCGGAAGAGGUGAGUGGAACUGCGAGUGUAGAGGUGGAAUUCGUAGAUAUUCGCAAGAACACCAGUGGCGAAGGCGGACUCACUGGUCCGGUACUGACGCUGAGGUGCGAAAGCGUGGGGAGCAAACAGGG